UACGUAGGGUGCGAGCGUUAAUCGGAAUUACUGGGCGUAAAGGGCGCGUAGGCGGUCAGCACAAGUCAGUUGUGAAAUCUCCGGGCUUAACUCGGAAAGGUCAACUGAUACUGUGCGACUAGAGUGCAGAAGGGCAACUGGAAUUCCCUGUGUAGCGGUGAAAUGCGUAGAGAGUGGGGAGAACACUCGUGGCGAAGGCGGCCAGCUAGACCAGUUCUGACACUGAGGCGCGAAGGUCAGGGGAGCAAACGGG
rnacentral:rRNA from 1 species